rnacentral:rRNA from 1 species
UACGUAGGGUGCAAGCGUUAAUCGGAAUUACUGGGCGUAAAGCGUGCGCAGGCGGUUAUGCAAGACAGAUGUGAAAUCCCCGGGCUCAACCUGGGAAUUGCAUCAGUGACUACAUAGCUCGAGUGCGGCAGAGGGGGAUGGAAUUCCGCGUGUAGCAGUGAAAUGCGUAGAUAUGCGGAGGAACACCGAUGGCGAAGGCAAUCCCCUGGGCCUGCACUGACGCUCAUGCACGAAAGCGUGGGGAGCAAACAGG